UACGGGGGGGCAAGCGUUGUUCGGAAUUACUGGGCGUAAAGGCUCGUAGGCGGCCAACUAAGUCAUACGUGAAAUCCCCCGGCUUAACCGGGGAACUGCGUCUGAUACUGGAUGGCUUGAGUUCGGGAGAGGGAUGCGGAAUUCCAGGUGUAGCGGUGAAAUGCGUAGAUAUCUGGAGGAACACCGGUGGCGAAGGCGGCAUCCUGGACCGAUACUGACGCUGGAGGAGCGAAAGCCAGGGGAGCAAACGGG
rnacentral:rRNA from 1 species